AGAGUUUGAUCCUGGCUCAGAAUGAACGUUGGCGGCGUGGAUUAGGCAUGCAAGUCGCGCGACAAGCUUUCUUUAGCUUGCUAUUGAAAGUGGAGGAGCGGCGAAAGGGAGAGUAACGCGUGGAUUAUCUACCUUCAGGAUCGGGAUAGCUGCGGGAAACUGCAGGUAAUACCGAAUAAUGUCUCCGGACCAAAUGGUGCGAUUCCUCCUGAAGAUGAGUCCGCGUCCUAUUAGCUUGUUGGUAAGGUAACGGCUUACCAAGGCAUUGAUGGGUACCGGGUGUGAGAGCAUGGCCCGGCUCACUGGGACUGAGACACUGCCCAGACACCUACGGGUGGCUGCAGUCGAGAAUCUUCGGCAAUGGACGCAAGUCUGACCGAGCGACGCCGCGUGCGGGAUGAAGGCCCUCGGGUUGUAAACCGCUGUCAGAGGGGAUGAAAGGCGCAUGGGGUUAUCCCCAUGGUUUGACAUAUCCUCAGAGGAAGUACGGGCUAAGUUCGUGCCAGCAGCCGCGGUAAGACGAACCGUACAAACGUUAUUCGGAAUCACUGGGUUUAAAGGGUGCGCAGGCGGCUUGGCAAGUUGGGUGUGAAAUCCCUCGGCUCAACCGAGGAACUGCGCUCAAAACUGCUAGGCUAGAGGGAGAUAGAGGUGAGCGGAACUUAGGGUGGAGCGGUGAAAUGCGUUGAUAUCCUAAGG
rnacentral:rRNA from 1 species